rfam:Oryza glumipatula chromosome 3, whole genome shotgun sequence.
AAAAAGGCAAACCCUGGGUUUCCGUGUCCAACUUUGACUGUCCGUCUUAUAUGAAAUUUUUUUAUAAUUCGUAUUUUUAUUGUUGUUAGAUGAUAAAACAUGAUUAAUAUUUUAUGCAUGAAUUGUCUUUUUAAUUUUUUUUCAUAUUUUUUUCAAAUCAGACAGACGGUCAAACGUUGGGCACGGAAACCAGGGUUUGUCUUUUU